ACAGCAGCAGCCACGGUAAUUCGAAGGGGGCUGGCGUUGUUCGGAUUUACUGGGCGUAAAGGGCGCGUAGGCGGACGGAUAAGUCAGGGGUGAAAUCCCAAGGCUCAACCUUGGAACUGCCUUUGAUACUGUUUGUCUUGAGUUCGAGAGAGGUAAGUGGAACUGCGAGUGUAGAGGUGAAAUUCGUAGAUAUUCGCAAGAACACCAGUGGCGAAGGCGGCUUACUGGCUCGAAACUGACGCUGAGGCGCGAAAGCGUGGGGAGCAAACAGGAUUAGAUACCCCGGUAGUCCCUGUCUCUUAUAC
rnacentral:rRNA from 1 species